rnacentral:tRNA from 1 species
GGAGGAGUGCCGGAGCGGUCCAACGGAACAGAUUGCUAAUCUGUGACCGCCUUAUACGCGGUCCGUGGGUUCAAAUCCCACCUCCUCCG